UUGCUAGCCACAUGUGAUCUUUAUCGAGAUUUUAUUCUAUUGGACGCACGUGAUUCAGUAACAGUGGAUGGUUUUCUGGGUAGUGAGAAUAUAGCUGAAAAGGGGCUGAACAAUAGUUCAAAGGGCAGUUCCCUAAAAUCCAAAUACCACAAAAGCUUUUCCUCUCCCACAGGACUUUCUGGGGGAGUUGGCAAUAAAUCUUCAGCGCGAAAGAACCAGAAUGCUAAUUUGUAUCAGUCUCCGAGGGGUCAUGAGUUUGAUCCAGGCAAUUUAAAUAAUGAUCCAUUCUCAUCUGAUAUACCUGAUAACAUUGAUGAUGCACAUGGAUAUUCAGAACCUAGAGAUUUAGAUGACUCAGAUGAUGAAGACCCAUGGAAACCCUUGAACCCUCAUGAACCAGGCAAUUUGAAAGUAAAAUCGUACAGAAAAGUUAAAUCUAAUAGAAGGCAGG
rnacentral:misc_RNA from 1 species